rfam:Clostridium asparagiforme DSM 15981 genomic scaffold Scfld0, whole genome shotgun sequence.
UGCGGGAUAGAGCAGUAAGGCAGCUCGUCGGGUUCAUUCCCCGAAGGUCGGUGGUUCAAAUCCACCUCCCGCUA